rnacentral:rRNA from 1 species
UGGGGAAUUUUGGACAAUGGGCGAAAGCCUGAUCCAGCAAUGCCGCGUGUGUGAAGAAGGCCUUCGGGUUGUAAAGCACUUUUGUCCGGAAAGAAAUCCUUGGCUCUAAUACAGUCGGGGGAUGACGGUACCGGAAGAAUAAGCACCGGCUAACUACGUGCCAGCAGCCGCGGUAAUACGUAGGGUGCAAGCGUUAAUCGGAAUUACUGGGCGUAAAGCGUGCGCAGGCGGUUUGCUAAGACCGAUGUGAAAUCCCCGGGCUCAACCUGGGAACUGCAUUGGUGACUGGCAGGCUAGAGUAUGGCAGAGGGGGGUAGAAUUCCACGUGUAGCAGUGAAAUGCGUAGAGAUGUGGAGGAAUACCGAUGGCGAAGGCGGCCCCCUGGGCCAAUACUGACGCUCAUGCACGAAAGCGUGGGGAGCAAACAGGAUUAGAUACCCUGGUAGUCCACGCCCUAAAACGAUGUCAACUAGUUGUUGGGGAUUCAUUUCCUUAGUAACGUAGCUAACGCGUGAAGUUGACCGCCUGGGGAGUACGGUCGCAAGAUUAAAACUUAAAGGAAUUGAC